UACGUAGGGUGCAAGCGUUAAUCGGAAUUACUGGGCGUAAAGCGUACGCAGGCGGCUUUGCAAGACAGGUGUGAAAUCCCCGGGCCUAACCUGGGAACUGCACUUGUGACUGCACAGCUGGAGUGCGGCAGAGGGGGAUGGAAUUCCGCGUGUAGCAGUGAAAUGCGUAGAUAUGCGGAGGAACACCGAUGGCGAAGGCAAUCCCCUGGGCCUGCACUGACGCUCAUGCACGAAAGCGUGGGGAGCAAACAGG
rnacentral:rRNA from 1 species